UACCAGCACCCCGAGUGGUCGGGACGUUUAUUGGGCCUCAAACAUCCGUAGCCGGUUCUACAAGUCUUCCGUUAAAUCCACCUGCUUAACAGAUGGGCUGCGGAAGAUACUAUGGAGCUAGGAGGCGGGAGAGGCAAGCGGUACUCGAUGGGUAGGGGUAAAAUCCGUUGAUCCAUUGAAGACCACCAGUGGCGAAGGCGGCUUGCCAGAACGCGCUCGACGGUGAGGGAUGAAAGCUGGGGGAGCAAACCGG
rnacentral:rRNA from 1 species